CCGGAAUUGCUAGUAAUGCAGGUCAGCAUACUGCCGUGAAUACGUUCCCGGGCCUUGUACACGCCGCCCGUCACACCAUGAGAGUUAGGAAUACCCGAAGCCUGUGAGCUAACUUUAGAGGCAGCAGUCGAAGGUAGAACUAAUGAUUGGGGUGAAGUCGUAACAAGGUAAC
rnacentral:rRNA from 1 species